GACGUAGGGGGCGAGCGUUGUCCGGAUUUAUUGGGCGUAAAGCGUGCGUAGGCGGCUGCGCAAGUCGGUUAUGAAACCCCGGGGCUCAACCCCGGAACUGCAUCCGAUACUGCGUGGCUAGAGGUAGGUAGGGGAGAUCGGAAUUCCUGGUGUAGCGGUGAAAUGCGCAGAUAUCAGGAGGAACACCGGUGGCGAAGGCGGAUCUCUGGGCCUUACCUGACGCUCAGGCACGAAAGCUAGGGGAGCGAACAGG
rnacentral:rRNA from 1 species